UACGGAGGGGGCUAGCGUUGUUCGGAAUUACUGGGCGUAAAGCGCGCGUAGGCGGACCUGCAAGUCGGACGUGAAAUCCCCAGGCUCAACCUGGGAACUGCGUCCGAUACUGGAUGGCUUGAAUCCGGGAGAGGGAUGCAGAAUUCCAGGUGUAGCGGUGAAAUGCGUAGAUAUCUGGAGGAAUACCGGUGGCGAAGGCGGCAUCCUGGACCGGCAUUGACGCUGAGGAGCGAAAGCCAGGGGAGCAAACGGG
rnacentral:rRNA from 1 species